rnacentral:rRNA from 1 species
GGGUUGUGAGGUUAAGCGAACAAGCGUACACGGUGGAUGCCCUGGCAGUCAGAGGCGAUGAAGGACGUGCUAAUCUGCGAAAAGCGCCGGUAAGGUGAUAUGAACCGUUAUAACCGGCGAUGUCCGAAUGGGGAAACCCGGUGCACUUCGGUGCAUCAUCGUUAGCUGAAUACAUAGGCUAACGAGGCGAACCGGGGGAACUGAAACAUCUAAGUACCCCGAGGAAAAGAAAUCAACCGAGAUUCCCCCAGUAGCGGCGAGCGAACGGGGAACAGCCCAGAGCCUGAAUCAGCUUGUGUGUCAGUGGAACGGUCUGGAAAGGCCGGCGAUACAGGGUGACAGCCCCGUACACGAAGGCACACAGGCUGUGAGCUCGAUGAGUAGGGCGGGACACGUGAUAUCCUGUCUGAAGAUGGGGGGACCAUCCUCCAAGGCUAAAUACUCCUGACUGACCGAUAGUGAACCAGUACCGUGAGGGAAAGGCGAAAAGAACCCCGGCGAGGGGAGUGAAACAGAACCUGAAACCGUGUACGUACAAGCAGUGGGAGCCUUCGUAAGAGGGUGACUGCGUACCUUUUGUAUAAUGGGUCAGCGACUUAUAUUCUGUAGCAAGGUUAACCGUAUAGGGGAGCCGAAGGGAAACCGAGUCUUAACCGGGCGUUAAGUUGCAGGGUAUAGACCCGAAACCCGGUGAUCUAGCCAUGGGCAGGUUGAAGGUUGGGUAACACUAACUGGAGGACCGAACCGACUAAUGUUGAAAAAUUAGCGGAUGACCUGUGGCUGGGGGUGAAAGGCCAAUCAAACCGGGAGAUAGCUGGUUCUCCCCGAAAGCUAUUUAGGUAGCGCCUCGUGAACUCAUCUCCGGGGGUAGAGCACUGUUUCGGCUAGGGGGCCAUCCCGGCUUACCAACCCGAUGCAAACUGCGAAUACCGGAGAAUGUUAUCACGGGAGACACACGGCGGGUGCUAACGUCCGUCGUGAAGAGGGAAACAACCCAGACCGCCAGCUAAGGUCCCAAAGUCAUGGUUAAGUGGGAAACGAUGUGGGAAGGCCCAGACAGCCAGGAUGUUGGCUUAGAAGCAGCCAUCAUUUAAAGAAAGCGUAAUAGCUCACUGGUCGAGUCGGCCUGCGCGGAAGAUGUAACGGGGCUAAACCAUGCACCGAAGCUGCGGCAGCGACAC